UUCCUUUGAUUUUGGGGAAGAAAAAAUCAUGUGACACUUAGAUACAUGCUAGGGAGACAUAAUAUUAACAUGUCCCAUACAGGUGAGUAAGAUUUGAGAAAAAAACAAUUGGAUGUCAUAAAACGAUUAUAUCAUAAAACAAAUUUAUUGCCAAUUGAUUUUCUUUAUUCGUAUUAGGUGAUUCCUAAGAUGCGUAGCUAACAAGCCACAUUACAAAUGAAAAAGGUGUAAACUCGUGAAGGGGCAGCAGUACAUAAUUUUGUGCAAUGUAUGAAAGUACGACACAGAGAUGUCACAUUAAAACUGUCUAAUAUACGUGCCAGCAGACGCGGUUAUACGUAAAGUUUUAGUUUUUUUCGAAAAAGGCGUAAAGAAUGUGUAGACGAAGCUUAGAGUUUAAUAAAGUAAGUCGAACUUUUAUGUAACGGUAGAAUGUUUUAAUAUAAAAUGGAAAACCUAAGGUGAAAACAACUUACUAAUUCAAACUGACGUUGAGACAUGAAAGUAGGGGGAACAAACAGGAUUAGAUACCCUGGUAGUCUUUACUGUAAACAAUAAUAUUAUGAUUAUUAAAUUAAUAAUAAUCUAAAAUAACUUAAAUAAUUCGCCUGAAGAGUACGAUCGCAAGAUUCAAAUUCAAAAAAAUUGGCGGUUCACUAAACUAAUUAGAGGAGCGUGUAGUUUAAUUUGAUAAUCCGCAAUAAACCUUACCAAAUCUCGAAUAUUAAGAAAAUAAUUGAUUUCUUAAUACAGGUAUUGCAUGGCCGUUGUCAGUUCGUGUUGUGAAAAAACGGACUUAAGCUUUUCGUGUAAUUUAAUAAAUUUAUACUUUAAAGAUAACAUCAGGUCUUUAUGAUCCUUAUGAUUUGGGCGAUAUAUGCGCUACAAUGUUUUAUACAAAGGGAAAUAAGAAGCUUAAAAGUAAAUUUCGGAUUAAUAUGUGUAAUAUAUUAUGAAGUUGGAUUUAAUAGUAAUCAGAAAGAAGGGCGUUCUGGUGAAUAAGGCUCUAGUGUUCGUACAAAUCGCCCGUCACCUCUACUGAAUAAAUUUUUUUCUGAAGUAUUUAGUUUGAUUUUUAACGAAAAAUUUAUUUUAAUGUUAAUUAAUUAAAAACCGGAACUUUUAUACGAUAAAAGAGUUGUGAAGAAGAGGAAGUCGUAACAUAGUGAGAGUAUUGGAAAAUGUUCUCGGAUUAAU
rnacentral:rRNA from 1 species